UGGGGAAUAUUGCACAAUGGGCGCAAGCCUGAUGCAGCGACGCCGCGUGGGGGAUGACGGCCUUCGGGUUGUAAACUCCUUUCGCUAGGGACGAAGCUUUUUGUGACGGUACCUAGAUAAGAAGCACCGGCUAACUACGUGCCAGCAGCCGCGGUAAUCCGUAGGGUGCGAGCGUUGUCCGGAAUUACUGGGCGUAAAGGGCUCGUAGGUGGUUUGUCGCGUCGUCUGUGAAAUUCCGGGGCUUAACUCCGGGCGUGCAGGCGAUACGGGCAUAACUUGAGUACUGUAGGGGUAACUGGAAUUCCUGGUGUAGCGGUGAAAUGCGCAGAUAUCAGGAGGAACACCGAUGGCGAAGGCAGGUUACUGGGCAGUUACUGACGCUGAGGAGCGAAAGCAUGGGUAGCGAACAGG
rnacentral:rRNA from 1 species